AGUCGAACGCGUCUUGGUCAAUGAAGUUGAGUGCUUGCAUUUAACUGAUUUGACAUUAAGACGAGUGGCGAACUGGUGAGUAACACGUGGGUAACUUGCCCCGAAGCGGGGGAUAACAUUUGGAAACAGGUGCUAAUACCGCAUAACAACAAAAACCACAUGGUUUUUGUUUAAAAGAUGGUUUCGGCUAUCACUUUGGGAUGGACCCGCGGCGUAUUAGCUAGUUGGUGAGGUAAUGGCUCACCAAGGCAAUGAUACGUAGCCGACCUGAGAGGGUAAUCGGCCACAUUGGGACUGAGACACGGCCCAAACUCCUACGGGAGGCAGCAGUAGGGAAUCUUCCACAAUGGACGAAAGUCUGAUGGAGCAACGCCGCGUGAGUGAUGAAGGGUUUCGGCUCGUAAAACUCUGUUGUUGGAGAAGAACGGGUGUCAGAGUAACUGUUGACAUCGUGACGGUAUCCAACCAGAAAGCCACGGCUAACUACGUGCCAGCAGCCGCGGUAAUACGUAGGUGGCAAGCGUUGUCCGGAUUUAUUGGGCGUAAAGCGAGCGCAGGCGGUUUUUUAGGUCUGAUGUGAAAGCCUUCGGCUUAACCGGAGAAGUGCAUCGGAAACCGGGAGACUUGAGUGCAGAAGAGGACAGUGGAACUCCAUGUGUAGCGGUGAAAUGCGUAGAUAUAUGGAAGAACACCAGUGGCGAAGGCGGCUGUCUGGUCUGCAACUGACGCUGAGGCUCGAAAGCAUGGGUAGCGAACAGGAUUAGAUACCCUGGUAGUCCAUGCCGUANACGAUGAGUGCUAAGUGUUGGAGGGUUUCCGCCCUUCAGUGCUGCAGCUAACGCA
rnacentral:rRNA from 1 species